CACCAGGUGAAGUCCAUUCAUCUUUACCUCCAGCCCAACCAAUGCAUACACAUUUUAAUUUUCCUAAACCUAAUCUCAAAAAACAGCCGCACACUUCUUCCUUCCCUCUUUGAGCAAAGUUCCAAGCUCUUUCUCAGCCAUGGCAGACUUUGCCAUGCCAUUUUCAUACAAGUUUCUCCUCUCUCUUUAUCUCAACGUUCACAAACUUCUCUCUCUCCUAUCUUCGACAAUUGAGUCAACGCUAGAGGACAAGCUACUUUUUCUCUGGUCUGAAGAAUCCACAAACAACUUUGUUCAAAAUUCAAACAGCUAUUCACUUUGAAAUCCCGCCCAAAACGAAACCCUAGAGUUUCACUUCACCUAUAAAUAUUGUCUCAAGCACUCAGCCGAAGGGAGUUUUUUCUUUGAACAUUCUUGAAAUCUUACCAUACACAACAAUUUAUUUUUUGACUACUACUCUAAACCUUGGGAUCUUUUAAACUUUUCAUUCGUUCGGAUCUGUUCAUAACGAGAGAGUAGAUCUGAAGAGGCCCCGACGUCCCGUUCACUACACCCGAAACAGGUGCUUACUGUUCUCCUUUUAUUUUUAUCCAUUUUAAGCGAUGUUUGUAUUUCCCUUUAACUUUUAUUUCGAUCAUGCCAUUGGAUAUCAUGAAAUAGUUACUGAAUCUGUUUUCUCGUUUACUUAGUUUCAUGUUUCUACUAUGAAAUUUUUAAUCUUUGUUCAGUCAUAGCUGCUUACGUAGGAAAUAUGUAUUAUGAUUUCUUUGAAUAAUAAGGGUUUAGUUUCAGAGCAUGUUUAAAACUUUAUACAUAGUAUGAAUCAUGUUUGGGUCAUAUAAGUAUCAUGUGUAUGAUGUGUCACAAGAAAGCACGAAUUAGGUUCCUCUCAAAUUGUAUAGCUGCAUAAUAAUUUAUUUAUUUGUGUGCAUGUUCUGAUUUGUUAGUUAAAAAAGUUCUUUACUUAUUUUAGAAAUUAUGUUAUUAGGAUUUUUUUCAAUUACCAAAAAUCUUAUUAGAAGGUUUCAUUUAAAAAGGCUCAUCUUUCAAAGAUGAUUAAAGGAAAGCAUAUUCUUGUAUCUAACACUAGCAGAAGUUGGGUCCUUCUAGCCUUGCCCCAAAAUAGUAGAAAUUGUGUCUUUAAGCUUCUUGAACUCCAGGAUGAUGACGUAGUUGAGACUUGAUGCUUGUCUAUUUUUCUCAAAAUGUGAUUUCAGUAUGUUCCUUGUUGUUUUCGUAUAGAAGUACCUAUUUCUCUUUAAAAAAAAUAGUUCUUCUUUCAUAUCUGUUAUAGUUGGUCAUAUUUGGUAUCGGGAAUCUGUUUGAGUAUGCAAAUAUAUGCUAAGGUCUUCAUAUAUAUCCUUAUAUGAGAAUCAUGUUAUGGUUUACUGCUUGGUUCUUUAUUACCUUUUUGACAGUAAGAUUUCUCUCUAACUUCGUCAUUUCUUUCCUUUCUUUGCAUGAACACCGGAGCCGAAGAGUUUCACUUUGAGACUCAACGACGCCGCUACCACAUGGAGCCGGUUCGGGUGAAGGGCACGCAUCGGAAUAAAGGAUCCCUUUGAGUGGUGGCUUGACGAAUAAGGUCCUGACAGAUUUAUUGGAGAGCAGCCGCAGUAGGACUUCCAGCUUCAGCGGUAUCAGCAAGUGCCACUACUCCAGACUUGCUAUCUUUUGGUACAUUUAUGUUAGCAUGAUAUAUGUUCAUAUGUACACUCUUAGAGGCUCAUAGACAUAGUGGGGUAUGUAGAUAUUAUGUCUGUCCUUGUCGGCCUUGUUUUGGUUUUGAUAUUCUCCUGAUAGCCUUGCCAGCUUUAUGAUACUCAUGAUAUUGUAGCG